AACGCACGAGACCUGCGGACCUGCGGAGGGAUCAUUACUGAGGAGGGUCCAUGGCCCGAUCUCCAACCCUUUGAUAAAAACACCAUGUUGCUUUGGCAGGCCCGCCCGUUGGGGCCGCGGGGGAUCGCCGGUCCCUAGCCCGUGCCUGCCGGUAGCCUUCACAAAACUCUCAAAAUGUUGUCGUCUGAGAUGAUUAGAAUAAUAAAACUUUCAGCAACGGAUCUCUAGAUCGGAAGAGCA
rnacentral:misc_RNA from 1 species